GGAAAACUCCAAAAGUGAUCAUUGUUCUUUCUAUUUAUAGAUUAGUGCUUAUUACAGUAUCCUUUUUGUUGUAAUACUAUUCUUAAUUUUAAAACCAAUUUAAUAAACCGUAAUUUCACACAAUUAUGAUCCUAAGCCACAAACUAUGGUCCAAACACCUGCACUCACAAAAACAUCGAUAACUGGAAGCCUAAUGACAUCUAAUGGGCUAUUUAAGUACUAUAGCAAAGAGCAUAGACAGUGUAAUAUUGUGAUUUUGUUUGAAAGCCCCUAUCUGCCAUGUUUUUCCACUAGUCAACUGUCAUUUGGGGUUAUAUUUUCAUGUUACAUUGUCUCCUGCAAACUUUCUUGGCCACCAACUACUACAACAAGUUGUUCUGUGCUGUUGAUGAUCUACG
rnacentral:lncRNA from 1 species